AUACUUACCUGGCGUAGGAAUACCGUGAUUAGGCGGUUCUCCCAGGGUGAGGCUGCUCCAUUUCACUGCGGCGUGGUUGACCCUUGCGAUUAUUUUUAUUUUUCAUAAGAUUCACUUCUACGUUUUUUACAUUCUUUUUUUUUAUUUAUGAAUUUUCAAGUU